AAAUUGUUGCCGUUACCUGUGAUUAAAAGGAUGGUUGAUAAAGGGAUCCGAAACAAGAUCACUUUGGUGGAGAAGAAGGGAAUCAAAGGGUUGGAGAAGCUGAUGCAAUUUUAGUUCCAUACUAGAAUUUGAAGAUUGAAGAAAUCAAUGGAAUCACUAAGGAUUUUGUGGAGCUUGGGUUUCUCGCCCCGACCGGUCUAUUUCUCGGUGGAACCAAGUACAUGAUUAUUCAAGGUGAACCAGGAGCUGUGAUCCGAGGAAAGAAGGGACCUGGAGGCGUUACUAUCAAAAAGACGUCUCAAGCCUUGGUCAUUGGUAUCUAGGAGGAGCCCUUGACCGGAGGUCAAUGCAAUUUGGUUGUGGAAAGGCUCGAGGAUUAUCUCUUCGAUUCUGAUCUCUAAAUUUAUAUUUCUAACUUCUUUGACUAAAAGAAUCCCAUUGCCCUUUCCAUUGUAAUUGAUUGUAAUAACGCAAUUGAUUUUUAUGGUACUUAAGAACCAAAUAUAUUUGUUGUUGCAUGGUCUUCUUGUUCCGGGUUUGGGCUUGUGUGUCUUAGUCUUGUAAUGGCAUUUGAUAAUAUCUUUGUUGGUCAUAUGUAUUUAGGGGUUACUUUUAAGAAACUGCAGAAUAUGUUUAUGGUUCGGUAUA